ACAUCAACGAAGACGAGAUGUAGUAGCGAUUGAAAAAUCUGCAGAGAGCUAGCGUUUGGUGAAAGCUAGUGAUUGGCAAAGCGUGAAAAUGGUCUCUGAGUUAGUGUGUGACUGCGAGCAGGUUCUGUAAGUGGUUACCGGGUGCGCCCGUUAUAGCGCCAACGUAUUUCCGGCGGCUGUCGACUAGUCCAGCUUGAAGGCGUACGUGUAAGCUUAUUUGGGUGACUGAAUAAGAAAACUGGGUGGUAACACGAGUCAUUUCGUCCCGGGG
rnacentral:ncRNA from 1 species